UACGUAGGGGGCAAGCGUUGUCCGGAAUUAUUGGGCGUAAAGAGCGCGCAGGCGGUCGUUCAAGUCGAGUGUGAAAGCCCCCGGCUCAACUGGGGAGGGUCACUCGAUACUGAUCGACUCGAAGGCAGGAGAGGGAAGCGGAAUUCCCGGUGUAGUGGUGAAAUGCGUAGAUAUCGGGAGGAACACCAGUGGCGAAGGCGGCUUUCUGGCCUGUUCUUGACGCUGAGGCGCGAAAGCUAGGGUAGCAAACGGG
rnacentral:rRNA from 1 species